UAUGUGCCCUUGUGAAUUAUUGUGUGUUCCUUUUGAUUAACCUUGUGUCCUACAGGAGCCACCGUACAUGCCUACUCUAAACAGUUAUGUUAGCUCACGAAUGUGAGGAGUUGUUGCUCAUACACCCGAGCAGAUUUUAAAGAAUUUCUCUUGUCUCAUUCGUUCUACACAACAGUAUUCUCUCUUGAAAUCAGAGUUCCUCGAGUUUCCCAGCCCUAGCCUGCCUAAGCUAAGUUAUAUUCCUGUGAUGGAAAUCAACACAGGUGCCUCCUUGCUUUGCUGUUCAUUGCUAUCCUUAUCAACAAGUUGAUAGGACCGUCUUUCUCCACCCUCUUCGAGCACGACACUAGUCGUCUAUGAGCACGACACUGGUCGGAGCGACACCGACAAGCAUAUGCUGCCCCCCUCUCCUCCUGAGACUGAAGGCUCUAUUCCCGUUCCAUACCGACUAGCUCGUGUCAGCUCCAGCAGAAAGCAGCAGGUUCAGGAAGAGCCUGAAGCCUUCCAGAGCCUGGUGAGGUGUCUUUCCAGUUCCAGAGCCUGGUGAGGUGUCUUUCCAGUUCCAGAGCCUGGUGAGGUGUCUUUCCAGUUCCAGAGCCUGGUGAGGUGCCUUUCCAGGGUGGAGAAGACCCUUUACUGCAACAUUGGUGCCCCGGCUCAUCAAGAUUCCUUGGCAUGAGCAGAACAACCAGGAACCAGCAGUAAGGUUCUGAUAUCUUCUGGUUUAUGUUCAUGAUUUCUUAGUAUUGACGCAACUUCAUGAAUAAUCUGUUUUCUUGUUGGCUACAACCAUGGUUCUUCCCAGGCUACGGGUGGUGUCUGGUUGGAGUCUUCCCAGGGUGUAUUUGUCUGGGUACCAUCAGUAUGGUCACUACAUGGCUACUAGGUACGGUUGUUACAUCUUUCUGAUGUGUUGCAGCUUUAACACUUAUUGUUCUAUUCCUGGCUAGCAGCUCUGUAUUAACCUGGAUCCUGAUAUCAUUUGGCUAUGAUGCUCUA